GUUGAAAAAUAAAAGGUUGUCCUAGAGGCAUGAACAUUUAAAUUUCCCGGUUGCAUUGGCCAUGGCUGUUUCCUUUAUUGCUAUUGGCUGGCUGUGCAACCAAUCACAAUACAGCACUGAUCAAAUGUCAUUUGGUACUCUAAAGGGAUCUGCUUACUGAGUUUUGCAUAUAUAAUAACCAAUGUAUUUCAAACUUGAAGAAUGGGAACAAUCUAAUGUUACAUUUGAAGAAUAGGACAUCGAGCUAAUUCGAUGUAGACAAUCUGGGGGAACAUUUCAAAAAGUUAAGAACCCAUUCAACUAAUUUUUAAGAUUGAUGGCCAGG